UAAUUAUAAACCCUUAUACUCAUCCAUUUCCCUUUCUCCCUCACACUGGACUCACUCAUUCUCCAUCUCCGUCACGGUUCAACAGCCUCGGCAUCACAACAGGCCGCGUUUUUUCCCUCCACAAGCAGCCCCUGCAGUACAGAUCGCGUCCCCCUUUCCCCACGAACUGUCACCGGCAGUAGCAGCACGCCUGGCCAUUGACUGCUGCAUGUGCCGCCACUCCUUCCCUUGGUCCACCACCACCACAACUACCACCUACAAUCUUACCUUAAGUUGAAAGGUCCUUUAAUGGUGAUUGAGGAGGCGACGUCAUCGAGGAACCUUUCUAGUUGAUAGUUGCGAAUCGAACCUGACUCCUUGAAGCGACAUCAUCGUUUGAUCACAGAUCGAAAUCGGUCGGGAACGAUGGGUUAACGGUGUUGAAUAGCGUUCCAAGGAUGUAUAUUGAGCUGAGCACGUAGGAAUUUGUAGUUUUGUAUUAGGUUUUUGGAUAAAUGUAUAUUUGUUUUGGCUGUGCUGGUUAUAUCGGACUUGUAGAAAAUUGUAUGAUUAUCUUGUGUAUUAGUUAGAUGUUGGUUUUGGGAUUUAGCUGAGUUAGUCACGUUGAAGAGCUUGUGACCCCUUUGCCCAAGUUUUGGAAGUGUGAUUUCAGUUUCUUGGGAAACGAAUCCAGUGAUGACCCUAUUUACCCAGUCAACGGUAAGUCGGGUUGUUACAGAGACUGUCUCUACACAGGAAUUUGUGAACAGUAAUUGCUCGGCUAAACAACAUUUUAAGUAGCGUUUAGUGGUAGAUGUAAUUGUUUUCAAAACAUUAUAACUUUUAGC